rfam:Erinaceus europaeus unplaced genomic scaffold scaffold00125, whole genome shotgun sequence
GGACUCAAGUUCCCAACAUCUGUCACCCCACUGAUUGCCAAGGUUGAUUUGGCUGAUCAGGCUGGCUAAGUGUCCCCUUUCUCCCUUACCACUCCAUGCGCAUCCCUUCUGAAGCUUUGCAUUCAAAGAGGACAGCCUUCCCCAGAUAGAGAUGGACUGGUCUUCAGUCAAGGUAUAUGACUAGCUGCACUUGCAACCCUACUAGAACCUCCAGACAAGCUCUCAAGGAUUCAAAUUCCAGUCCCUAGCUCCCACCUGCAUGGGGGAAGCCUCACUAGAGAAUAAAGAGUACUGCAGCUAUCUUCCCAUCCUCUCUCUCUCUCUCUCUCUGUCAGG